AUCUCACGCACUCCAGGCUUGAUCUCUGCACGACGCAUGCCCAGGUUGUUCCCGGUCACCGGUGCCACCAUCUGGCCAGUCCAAGGACCAGAGAUUGCCUUCUGCAGGCACAGGGGCCAAGAGGGAAGCUUUGUGGACCUCAGCCUGAACCUGAGUAGCUACAAUUGAGGAGCAGCUGACUCCAGAACACCCCAGGACCCAGCAGUCUCUAUUGCUCUUACACCUAGGCCACUUUAGUCACUGGCAUCAAGUCCGCACAGACUUGUCUGCAACCUCUGCCAACCCUCCAGCUGCUUUUCUUGCCUCCACUUCCAGCUCCAAUCACAAUGAGCUAGUUUCAUGUUCUGAAAUGUUACUUUUUAUGUGUUCAAGCAUGUUAAUCCCUCAAUCCGCAAUACUCCUCCAACCUCUGCUUACUUAGCUAACUCCUAACAAUUUUCAAGUCCAAUACCAGAGAAGAUCCUUCCUGUAGGAAACCUGCCUUGACUUUAUGCUCUCUUCACAUUCUAUUAAGUACUCGCUAUUCCUACCGUUGUCUCUUCACUUGUCUGAUUGCUUCAUUACUCUGAGAGCCCCAAAAGGGUAGAACCCAUGGGCCUGCUCAUUAGCUGCUGGGCCCCUAACCCUGAAUGAAGCAUAGAGGCCAAGAUGAUGCAUUCUGCCUGGGUGCCCACUUCCUUCUUUGUAAAGCAAAGUUCUGGUAUCUUAAGAACAUCUACCUUUGUAGGAUAGAGCCAAGGACCGAAGAUGCUCUGUGUCCAAAGGCAUUCUAUGUGCCUCCCAGAGUUGUCUUUUGUCCUUUAAAUUUGAAUGAGUGCUAAUAGUCAUCUUUAAUUUCCUAUUAACUCAAUCAGGAUCCCUGUAUGACUUAUACUGUUGUAUCAUGACUGAUCUUAGUUAAAUCUGACUCGUUUGAUUGCUGCUUAUUAUUAACAGAUUUUAUUCAUAACAGGUUGCUGGUAUCAAGCUGAGGAGUAUACACAACUAUACUGAAAAUGACAAUGAUUCAUUACACUGUGAUUUGAUUACUACCUGUUUUUGUAGCUCUAUACUAUCUACAAAGUUGUAUUUCUAUUAAUUCUGUUAUGUACUGAUAUAUUCAGUUACACUUUAUCUGAUGAUAUAGCCAGUUCUGUUGAUGAUAACAGGAAACAGCACAGUGACCAUGGUAGAACUCUUUAUACAGCAGUUUUAUAAGUCUUUUUAGUUUUAUGUGUCUAUAGGAAUAUGUUUAGUUCUGUCCUGCUUUGUUCUGUUUCUCCCUCUAAUAUAGAAAGGAUAGAAAUGCAUGUUAAGACUCAUGCUUGUGGAAAACCUAUAAACAGUUUAUGAGAACUGAUCUUAUGACACAUGACGAAAUGAACAAAUACUUUGAAGGAAAGAAAGGGGCACUGCAGUACCCAGUGCUGAUUCCAGAGUGUUAUGAUGUGAAAUCCAGCAAUAUUAUUAAUCUUUGUUCAGAAUGAUUUUAAUCUAAUAAGUUUUGUUAGGUCUCAACAUAAAUGAAGAUAUGUAUAAAUGCAUACAUGUCUAAGUGUAUAGGAUUUAUAGCCAUAUUACUUAGUUUUCGUUGGCAAGUUGAACAGAACUAUUUGCAGUCUCCCUGGUUGAAUUCCCAUUUAUAUGCUCCACUUUUGUAUCUUGAACAACUAUUUGUGGGGGAACAAUAUGUAUACAUCAACUAGCGAUUUAUUACUGUUUAUUUCUUUUCUUUGAAAGUAUGUACUAUGUCUGCCCAUUUUGUUUUGUGUUUAAAUAAAAAAAAUUUGAAGGAGUGCUAAAA